GAACUGAAGAGUUUGAUCCUGGCUCAGAUUGAACGCUGGCGGCAUGCCUUACACAUGCAAGUCGAACGGUAACGCGGGGCAACCUGGCGACGAGUGGCGAACGGGUGAGUAAAGUAUCGGAACGUGCCCAGUAGUGGGGGAUAGCCCGGCGAAAGCCGGAUUAAUACCGCAUGAGACCUGAGGGUGAAAGCGGGGGACUCGCAAGGGCCUCGCGCUAUUGGAGCGGCCGAUAUCAGAUUAGGUAGUUGGUGGGGUAAAGGCCUACCAAGCCGACGAUCUGUAGCUGGUCUGAGAGGACGACCAGCCACACUGGGACUGAGACACGGCCCAGACUCCUACGGGAGGCAGCAGUGGGGAAUUUUGGACAAUGGG
rnacentral:rRNA from 1 species